UCGUUCGGGGGAUAGAGGAAGUCGCCUCACGGCGGCUGGCCGCGAAAUUCUCC
ncrna:Halorubrum lipolyticum DSM 21995 leuA-Halobacteria RNA